GAUCCUGGAGCUGCGGUGGAGCGAGCUUUCUGCCCCCGGCACACCUCGAGCUGCCUUGGCAGUCUUCACGGCAGAAUUGUUUGGCAGGAAAUAAUUCAGACUAAUGUAUCCCCCUGUGCUCCUAAAAUUGUAUGGAAUUUAAAAUGCUAAAUGAACUAAAUCAUUCUAAGUGUGCAAGCAAUGUAGUUGUGAAGAGAGGCAAAGUAUGCCUGCCGGUUCCAAUGCUUUUCAGCUAUAAUUCUUGAAACCAUCUAGCUUCAAAACAGAGCGAGCUGAGAAGCAGAGAAGCCGCACCAACAAAGAACUGCUUCAGGCUCUAAAAAGGGACAGCAAACUUAGGACUUUCAAAGGACAGAAACAGUUGGAAUGGCUGAAUUCCUGUCCCCUCAGACAAACACAGUGUCCCAUGCUACCAGGAAGGCCCCAGUUGCUGACAUGGGCAUGAUAAAAGUGCCUUGCCACUUCUUGGUCUGUGAUUGACCCAACCAACAAGCAAGAGAACACAUACAGCAAAAGAAAACAGAUGAACAAGAUAUCUAGAGAAGCAAAAGUGGUAACUGAGAAGAAACUUUUCAAGAGGCUGCACUGGGAAAGGGAAGAUGAAACGUAUGAGAGCAGGAAAUCUGGAGCUGCGCCAAGGACCUUUUCAAAACACAGCACCUGCCCAGGUGUUUGCUGGGAGCUGCAGCUUUGUCUAAAAUGGAGAGUGAGGCCUUCUGAUAGUGCUGAAAAUAACUACUCCACUCGACUGUUGCCUGGCUGUUGAGUGCUAUCCCAUCUGUACAACUAGGAAGAACUGCAUGUAACAUGCAUACCUGACCUCCAGGCAAGCUAACCUGAGCCUCCAAGGUGUUAACCAUAGCUUGACAACUCUUUUGAGUUAAAUUCCCU